rnacentral:rRNA from 1 species
GACGAACGCUGGCGGCGUGCCUAACACAUGCAAGUCGAGCGAAUGAAGUUCCUUCGGGAAUGGUUUUAGCGGCGGACGGGUGAGUAACACGUGUGCAACCUGCCUCAUAGAGGGGAAUAGCCUCCCUAAAGGGAGAGUAAUACCGCAUAAGAUUGUAGUACCGCAUGAUACAGCAAUUAAAGGAGCAAUCCGCUAUGAGAUGGGCCCGCGGCGCAUUAGCUAGUUGGUGAGGUAAUGGCUCACCAAGGCGACGAUGCGUAGCCGACCUGAGAGGGUGAUCGGCCACAUUGGGACUGAGACACGGACCAGACUCGUACGGGAGGCAGGAGUGGGGAAUAUUGCAAAAUGGGGGAAACCAUGAUGCAGCAACGCCGGGUGAGUGAUGACGGCAUUCGGGUUGUAAAGCUAUGUCUUCAGGGACGUUAAUGACGGUACCUGAGGAAGAAGCAACGGCUAACUACGUG